ACAAACUUGGUCAUUUAGAGGAAGUAAAAGUCGUAACAAGGUCUCCGUUGGUGAACCAGCGGAGGGAUCAUUACCGAGUUUACAACUCCCAAACCCAAUGUGAACAUACCGAUCGUUGCUUCGGCGGACUCGUCCCGGUGUCCGGGUGGCCUUGCGCUGCCCGCGGCCCGGAGGCCAGGCGACCGCCGGGGGCCCUCCCAACUCUUUUUGUAUUGCGAGUAUCUUCUGAAUCCGCCGCGAGGCAAAACAAAAUGAAUCAAAACUUUCAACAACGGAUCUCUUGGUUCUGGCAUCGAUGAAGAACGCAGC
rnacentral:misc_RNA from 1 species